rnacentral:rRNA from 1 species
AUUGAACGCUGGCGGCAUGCUUUACACAUGCAAGUCGAACGGUAACAGGCCGCAAGGUGCUGACGAGUGGCGAACGGGUGAGUAAUGCAUCGGAACGUGCCCAGUCGUGGGGGAUAACGCAGCGAAAGCUGCGCUAAUACCGCAUACGAUCUCUGGAUGAAAGCGGGGGACCGAAAGGCCUCGCGCGAUUGGAGCGGCCGAUGUCAGAUUAGGUAGUUAGUGGGGUAAAGGCCCACCAAGCCAACGAUCUGUAGCUGGUCUGAGAGGACGACCAGCCACACUGGGACUGAGACACGGCCCAGACUCCUACGGGAGGCAGCAGUGGGGAAUUUUGGAUAAUGGGCGCAAGCCUGAUCCAGCAAUGCCGCGUGCAGGAAGAAGGCCUUCGGGUUGUAAACUGCUUUUGUACGGAACGAAACGGUCCGGGUUAAUACCCUGGGCUAAUGACGGUACCGUAGGAAUAAGCACCGGCUAACUACGUGCCAGCCGCCGCGGUAAGAC